rnacentral:tRNA from 1 species
AAGGAAGUGACAGAUCGGCUAUGUGAUUGACUUGAAAUUAAUUUAAGUGGGUUCAACUCCUACUUUCCUUG